GCAAGUGUUCCUGUACUUCUGUGUACUUACGAACUUCCCAAUCCAUCGUUUUAUGAGCACAUAACACAGUUGUGCUACUGUAGAAGUUUGGUAUCAUUUCAGACAUUA